AAAAGAAACUAACAAGGAUUCCCCUAGUAGCGGCGAGCGAAGCGGGAAGAGCUCAAAUUUAUAAUCUGGCGCUUUCGGCGUCCGAGUUGUAAUCUCUAGAAGUGUUUUCCGCGUUGGACCGCACAUAAGUCUGUUGGAAUACAGCGGCACAGUGGUGAGACCCCCGUUCACGGUGCGGAUGCCCAAUGCUUUGUGAUACACUUUCGAAGAGUCGAGUUGUUUGGGAAUGCAGCUCAAAUUGGGUGGUAAAUUCCAUCUAAAGCUAAAUAUUGGCGAGAGACCGAUAGCGAACAAGUACCGUGAGGGAAAGAUGAAAAGCACUUUGGAAAGAGAGUUAACAGUACGUGAAAUUGUUGGAAGGGAAACGCUUGAAGUCAGACUUGCUAUUCGGGGCUUGCUCCGAGUUGCAGGCCAGCAUCAGUUUUUCGGGGCGGAAAAUCACGGAUUGAAGGUAGCAGUUUCGGCUGUGUUAUAGCUUUCCGUUGGAUACGUCCUGGGGGACUGAGGAACGCAGUGUGCUUUUAGCGAGGGCUUCGGCUCUUUCACACUUAGGAUGCUGGUGGAAUGGCUUUAAACGACCCGU
rnacentral:rRNA from 1 species